CUCCGAAUGCCGCAUAAAUGAUGUACGGGAGUCAGACUGCACGAGAUAAGUUGGGUAGUCAAAAGGGAAAGAGCCCAGACCUACAGCUAAGGUCCCAAAAUGUGUGUUAAGUGGAAAAGGAUGUGGGAUUUCGAAGACAACUAGGAUGUUGGCUCAGAAGCAGCCAUACAUUCAAAGAGUGCGUAAUAGCUCACUAGUCGAGAGGUCCUGCGCCGAAAAUGUCCGGGGCUGAAACACACUACCGAAGCUUGGGAAUUGACGAAUGUUAAUUGGUAGAGGAGCAUUCUUAACGGGGCGAAGCUGUACCGGAAGGAGCAGUGGACUGUUAAGAAGAGAGAAUGCCGGAAUGAGUAGCGAGAGGAAGGUGAGAAUCCUUCCGGCCGAAUAUCUAAGGUUUCCAGAGUAAAGCUGAUCUGCUCUGGGUAAGUCGGGGCCUAAGGCGAGGUCGAAAGACGUAGUCGAUGGAUAACAGGUAAAGAUUCCUGUACUGUAUCAUAACAGAACUGUGGGGACGCAGACAGAGAGCAUAAGCCGGGAAUGGAAAAACCGGUACAAGCGAGGUAGGAGUGCAUCAGGCAAAUCCGGUGCACAAUCUGAAGACGUGAUGUGGGGCGUAAAGCCGGAAGUAUGUGAGCUGGCUGCCAAGAAAAGCCGCUAUUGUUUAUGAUAUACCCGUACCGUAAACCGACACAGGUGGAUGAGGAGAGAAUCCUAAGGCCGACGGGAGAAGCAUUGUUAAGGAACUCGGCAAAAUGACUCCGUAACUUCGGGAGAAGGAGUGCCAUGUAAAAGUGGCCGCAGAGAAUUGGCCCAAGCAACUGUUUAGCAAAAACACAGGUCUAUGCAAAACCGAAAGGUGAGGUAUAUGGGCUGACGCCUGCCCGGUGCUGGAAGGUUAAGAGGAGAGGUUAGCGCAAGCGAAGCUUUGAAUUGAAGCCCCAGUAAACGGCGGCCGUAACUAUAACGGUCCUAAGGUAGCGAAAUUCCUUGUCGGGUAAGUUCCGACCCGCACGAAAGGCGUAAUGAUUUGGGCACUGUCUCAACGAGAGACUCGGUGAAAUUUUAGUACCUGUGAAGAUGCAGGUUACCCGCGACAGGACGGAAAGACCCCAUGGAGCUUUACUGCAGUUUGAUAUUGAGUAUCUGUACCACAUGUACAGGAUAGGUAGGAGCCUAUGAAAUCGGGACGCUAGUUUCGGUGGAGGCGUUGUUGGGAUACUACCCUUGUGUUAUGGCUACUCUAACCUAGAUAGGCUAUCCCUAUCGGAGACAGUGUCUGACGGGCAGUUUGACUGGGGCGGUCGCCUCCUAAAAGGUAACGGAGGCGCCCAAAGGUUCCCUCAGAAUGGUUGGAAAUCAUUCGCAGAGUGUAAAGGUAUAAGGGAGCUUGACUGCGAGAGCUACAACUCGAGCAGGGACGAAAGUCGGGCUUAGUGAUCCGGUGGUUCCGCAUGGAAGGGCCAUCGCUCAACGGAUAAAAGCUACCCUGGGGAUAACAGGCUUAUCUCCCCCAAGAGUUCACAUCGACGGGGAGGUUUGGCACCUCGAUGUCGGCUCGUCGCAUCCUGGGGCUGUAGUAGGUCCCAAGGGUUGGGCUGUUCGCCCAUUAAAGCGGCACGCGAGCUGGGUUCAGAACGUCGUGAGACAGUUCGGUCCCUAUCCGUCGCGGGCGUAGGAAAUUUGAGAGGAUCUGCUCCUAGUACGAGAGGACCAGAGUGGACUUACCGCUGGUGUACCAGUUGUCUUGCCAAAGGCAUCGCUGGGUAGCUAUGUAGGGAAGGGAUAAACGCUGAAAGCAUCUAAGUGUGAAGCCCACCUCAAGAUGAGAUUUCCCAUGAUUUUAUAUCAGUAAGAGCCCUGAGAGAUGAUCAGGUAGAUAGGUUAGAAGUGUAAGUGUGGUGACACAUGUAGCGGACUAAUACUAAUAGCUCGAGGACUUAUCCAA
rnacentral:rRNA from 1 species